CACUGUGUGUGCUGGGCCACACAUCCAUCUAAUUCUAAACGUAGCAGGAUAACAGGGCAAGGUUUAUUGUCAGAAAUGAACCACAUGUGAGGUUCAUUUGAUUUCAAAAAGCAUGUUGCUGAUGCAGAGUGCAGUUAGUCCCAGAAGAGAAGGACCUGCACAAGAUCUGCUGGAAUUCAGGCCUCUUAGAGGUUGUCCUCUGGUGUCUCUCACCCAUUGUUAUUCUCAUGUCAAAGUUUCAGGGUUUUCUAUGGUUGAUACCAAAAUGUAAAUUGCAUGAGCUUAAUUUCAUUUACAUUUUAUGAUCUUCCAAGAAGUAUAUGCCAAUGUGAUCCCCAUUGUGUGUGUGUGUGUGUGUGUGGGGGGGGUGUAAAGCCUGAAAAGCAUGAUCAUUUCUCUAGGGUCAAAGGAAUGGUAAUAAAAUGUAAAUUCUGAAGCCAAAUCUGUCUUCUUAAACUAAGGCCUUUGGCUGCAUUGAUAACUGUCCAAAGAAUUGAAAGGCCAUCUGUGUUUGCAUACUUUUAUACAGUUGAGAAGAUGAAAAGUCAGUACCCCUAGGAGUGCUUGGGGAGGCCUAAUUAUUGGAAGAGGUUCACUGAAAUAAAUUUUGAAGAAGUGGCCUAACGUUUUUGGCAUUAGAAAUCUUUUAACCAGGCACACAUUCUAGAAACUGUCCCUUAUCCAAUUCACUUGAAGGAAGAUGCUCAAGAGAGAAAUCUGUUUCUUGAUGUAUCCUAAAGCUCCAAGGUUGUAGCCACAAAAAAUGUUCAGAGUGGGAGCAUUUAUAGAUGUUGACAAAGCCAAACACAAGACCCUAUGUCCAUUCAUCAGGAAGCACCCACAGGUAAAAGAGGGCAGGCCAGAAAAACCAAUCCAGAAAAGCCCUUUCUGU
rnacentral:lncRNA from 1 species